GGGGACGAAAGGGUUCGACAGGGAAGGUUGAGCCCGGAUUGCAGGUCGAGUUCGUCACCAACUCGUAAAUCAGGUGGCGCUAAAGUAACUGGCAGAACAAACCAGUACGCUUUGGCUGCCUAAUUUAGGCUAGCCACGUUGGACCCAGGCCUCGCCCCGAUGGGCAGGGUCCGACGACGCAAUGUCGGGGCGCUGUCCCUCCGACGCCGAUAACGGGGGACCUAAGAACCAUCGGCUGGCGCGGCGGCAAGUUUGCCGCGGACGUACGCCGCGCGAGAUCCAAACGACGGCUAAGCCUGUAGGAGAUUCGGGGAGGCUUUCCUCUGGACGAGGGGUUCAAUUCCCCUCCGUCUCCACCA
rnacentral:tmRNA from 1 species